rnacentral:rRNA from 1 species
UACGUAGGGUCCGAGCGUUGUCCGGAAUUACUGGGCGUAAAGAGCUCGUAGGCGGUUUGUUGCGUCGGCUGUGAAAUCCCGAGGCUCAACCUCGGGUCUGCAGUCGAUACGAGCAAACUAGAGUGUUGCAGGGGAGACUGGAAUUCCUGGUGUAGCGGUGAAAUGCGCAGAUAUCAGGAGGAACACCGGUGGCGAAGGCGGGUCUCUGGGCAACAACUGACGCUGAGGAGCGAAAGCGUAGGUAGCAAACAGG